GGAAAAGUUAAAGGGGGCCGAAUACUUUUGCAAGCCACUGUAUGUGCCUCAGGGAAGGUCUGAGACUGGAGCUCCUAGUUGCCCCUGCAGGGCAUCCCUUGGAUGAAGGGGGUGGGUCCCCAGAGAACUUGACUCUGAUUGCCAAUAGGAUUACCCCGCUAAUGGAGAUAACGUAUUACCAAUAGGAUACC
rnacentral:lncRNA from 1 species